UCCCCUGUCUCCGUGGUCUUCCGACAGUGGUAAAGUGGAAGAAACUGAGGCACGGUGAGACACAAAAGUAUCUGGGACUGAGGAGAAGACAGAGAGAGAUUCACUUAAGGGGAUUGAAGGUGAGAGGAUUCGGCGACCUGAAGUUCGGACAGCAUGUAACUCUGAAGGAGGUGGACAAACAGCAUUGCUCAUGACUCACGGAAGACAUCGCUGGUCCCCACCCAGUAUCCAUCCUGACCCUGCUUUAGUUGUGGGCGUCAGUAGAAAAUACACCAUUGGGGAUCCCUGGGUGCCUCAGCAGUUUAGCGCCUGCCUUUGGCCCAGGGCGCGAUCCUGGAGUCCCGGGAUUGAGUCCCAUGUCGGGCUCCUGGCAUGGAACCUGCUUCUCCCUCCU